AUGGCGGAGACCGUACGCUCGCUCUUCGACUACCAGGACCCACACAGCCUGGACAGCGACGGAGAAGGCGUCAAACCGGCACCGCCACUGCGGGGGCGAGGCUGUGGAAGGAAAAGGAAAGGGACGCCUGUGAAAGUCUUUGUUACACACACUGAGGAGGAGAGUGUGCCUGAACAGAGCUUCAGCCCAGGUGAUCGUAAGGAAGCAGCAGAGAAUAAACGGCCCACACUGGAUGGACCUUUCUACAAUACAGAGCCAUCUUCUCAUCAGACCUGCAGCAGCCCAUCAGAGCAGGCUCAGUACAAAGUCUCCACUGGGUCCAAGACCAGAUCCUGCUCAGCUUCUACACCAGCUCCAGCUCCAGCUGCUUCUUCAGCCCCAACUGCAACACCGGUCCUUGCUCCUGCCCCGGCCACUGCGACUUCAGCUCGGGCCCCGUCUCUAACACCCGCGUCCACAGCUCCAGCUGCUCCAACACCCUCUGCUCCGGCCCCAACAGCCAGCUCCUUCCCUCCAUCCCCCAACUGCCGUAUCCGAGAGGUCCACUGUGGGAGCCAGGUGCGGCUGGUUGUUAUUGCCAUCCGAGACAUCACCAAGGGGGAGGAGAUCACUGUGGAUUACAGCCUGACAGAGUGGGGAGAGAACCUGGGUUUUCGUGGUACUGUAUCUCCAGCGCAACACGAGUGCCACUCUGACACUGAGAAUAACAAUAUCAAGAAGGAGGAUGAGCCUCUCUCUCUGACAGCCCAGCAACAGGAGUAUGUCACUCCCUCUUGGUCGCUGUCUCCCUCUUCCUCACCCAUCUCCCACUCUGACGGCAGUGAGUCAGACGGUGGGGAUGAAGACAACGCCAGCCCUCGCGGACGGGCACCACGCCGGCGUAAGAAACGUCGUGGCACCCCUUCAAAGAAAAAGAUUCCCCAUCGAACUCCACCUGGUCGACCACCGUCAGUCUCCCCGACCAAUGCUCCACAUCAUAUCCGCCCGCUUCCUUCGCCCCACGCUGCAGCGCAGGACACUCCUCCUUGCUCAUCUUCCUCCUCCUCUUCAACCAAGCCUGUGUUUAAAGCCCCGGCUCCACUGGGCUCCAACAGCACAAGCAACGGCAAUGCAAAUGGACCUCGAGGAGGAGUGUCAAUUGAGUCCAUGCGGCAAACCUGUGACUACUGUGGACGCCACUUCCGCUCCCUUGGCCGCCACUUAGACAAACACCACGCCCACCAACCCGAAGUGUGCUCUGCCCUUGUUGAGCGUUACACACAGAUGCCCCGCUUGCAUGCACAGAACACAAACCCUACACACGCACAUACUCAGCAGCACUCAAAACCAGCACAGGUCUUGGGACAGAACUGCAGCUCAGAUCUUGCUCAGAAUGGGAUCCAGGACCUCUCUAUUUCUUCUCCCAUUCUCACUGCAGCCAACCAGGCACCUGUUUCCUCUGGAAGGAACUCCACGCCUCCUGUGCUGACUCCUCCAAGAGGGCAGAACGCGGUACCGGUGUCCGUCUUAAAGAGGAGCCCUCCGCCUGUGGCUGUGACACAGUCCAGAAAGGGAGCGGUGAGAAGGCUUAAAAAGGAACGACAGGAUGAGGAGGACGAGGAUGAGGACAAUGAAGAUGAAGAAGAUGUGGAGGUGGUGGAAGUAAAGAGGUCCAAAGAGGAGGAGGAUGUAGAGGUGGUGUGUCCUCAGUCCUUCAGCAGCAAGUCAGCCAAAGAGAUGGAUCCAUUAAAAGAAGAGGAUGAUGAGGAUGACGAGGAAGAAGAUGAAGAGGAGGAAGAGAAUGGAGUGAUGGAGGUGGAAGAUGAAAGUGGGACAGAAGAUAAGGAAAAGCACUUGCUGAGUAGUUCGGGACGUCACCACAUGCUGCCGCUGCUCUCAUCGUUGUCCUCUCUAGUGCUGUACCUUCGUCGGCUGCAGCACUCAGCCUUCUUGUCUCUGUCUCGGCAGCUGCAGUCAGCCGAGGCCUGGCGUCUUCUCUGCCACUCUAGCCUGGCGCUCCUAAUACUGUAUAACCGACGUCGUGAGUGUGAGGUCUCUAAGCUUUCCAUUGCUGAGUAUCGCGCUCGCUUCACUCCCCAGUGCCCUGUUCCCGUACCACCUGGAACCCCUCCAGCUCUCACACCAUUGGAGGCAUCCCUGUCUCCCUUUGAGCGGCUGGUGCUUCCUCACCUGCCUCGGGUGGGGGUCCAGGGUAAACGUGGACGUGUGCAACCUCUUAUCCUCCCCCCUCACUGCGAGCCCUGCCUGGAGCUCCUUCUGCAGACGAGGCAGGAUGUAGGCGUUGAUCCUGCAAAUCCAUAUGUUUUCGCCAGGCCCUACCACUCCCCAGCCACACCACUGCGUGGUACUGACCUUCUCCGCAGCCUAGCCCGCUCCAGCGGUACCCGCAAUCCCCGUGCCCUGACUCAGACCAGGGUCCGUCGCCAGGUAGCAAUACUAACCCAACUGCUCCUUCUGGGAGAAGGAGAGGAGCCCGGGCAGCUGGGAGGCAGCGCUGUGGAGAGGCUGGAGCACUUCCUUGAGAGGGAGUACCAUGUGACACAGAAUUGUGCUGGAAUUGGCCAAGACCCAGGGCUGAUGGGCAGAGUGGGCCGAGUUGUUCUGUGUGGAGAAAGAGAUGGAGUGCUGUUCAGAGGAAUGAGCCUGAACCACAUCUGCCUGGAACUGGAUGUCAUGUCAGGAAACUCUGCAGACUCGUACUCAGAGGGAGAGUCUGAAGGGGAGCAGGUGAAGGAGAAGCCUGAGCCGCCCACCCCUGCACCUGCUCCAAACCCUACACCUACCCUGCUGUAUGUCAGGAAGGGCAAGAACAACGGGCGGGUGGGACGACCCAAGAAACUUAAGAACCCCCAGCCACCCCCUCCACCUCCUCCACCUCCGCCUGCAAACCGCAGGAGAGGCACAGGAAAGCGAGGUGUCCUGAAGCGUCCUUGGUCUGAGGCAGAGCGUGCAGCAGUUGAGGAACACCUGACCAAAAACAUCAAAGAGCUCAAAGUCCCUGCCAAGGCUGACUGUGAGCGCUGCCUGCAACAGUGCCCUCUGCUGGUCAGCAACCAUCGUGACUGGCGAGCCAUCAAGUUUUACUGCCACAACCGCAUUCAGCUUCUGAAGAAAAAUCAGCGGCGUGAAAGCGAGCCCCAGCCCCUCACAGUCUGUUAAGAGGGGAGAGUGUUCGGAGGAAUGUGCAGCUGAUCAGAGCAGAUCUCAAAUGGUACUCUGGUGCCCAGGAAAUGCACUAAUUUUGAUAGGACGGUCCUAAAUUUCAUUGUACUCUGUUGGUAGCAUGGUUUGCUUUUGAAAUGCCCUCUAAUUUGACUUUUUUAUUUGAGUCAUCCAAGAACAGAAAUUCUGAUUAACUACUUAUGCUGCUCUACUUUAUAGUCUUAAAAAAAUUACACUAGUCUUUAUGGUGCUCCUGGUUUUAGGGUUACAAUGCAAGUCUUGUCAAAAGCAGUGUACUUGGUCGGGUGCCAUUUGAGACAUGCCUUCAGAGACCAUAGCACUGGCCACAGCCUAUGUUGUGUUGUAUAUGAGCAUUUUUUUCUCUUUCCGAAACAAAUACACUAAACCGAAAUGUAAACAAGGGAGGCAGUUGAGCCCUACAGUGUUGUUAUAUGAACGUCGUGAAGUAGCAUUAGUGUUUUAUGCACUUGGAGACGUUAAUAGGACAAAUGGCCUGUGCUCGGGCCACACUUUUCUUAAUAGUGGCUUUAUAAUUAGAGUAGGCCUAACUACUGCUAACCUAGAAGAAUAGCCAGAUAUUUCUUUAAACAAGUUCUUCUUUUCAUACAACUGACUGUGCAAUUCUGACUAUGGUUUCCUUAUAUUUGCACCUUAAUUUUCAUGUAAGGUACUAUUGAUGAAUGAGUAAACGCUUUUGAAGUUAUUAUGAAGUUUUGUUUUGUUUUUUUUUUUGUAUGAUGAAAUGUUAAGUUGUGGGUUUCAUGACGGAGAAAACUGAAUGGCAUCAGAAUGUUGUGAAGUUGUGGAUACCUAAGAUGUUUAGUUAAACCAGAAACAUAUUAGUAAGAACUGUUUUGACACCUGACACAUUGUUCUCUUUCCCUGAAGCAAAUAUACUGAAGAUGUCAGCAGCUAUUAUUUUCCCCCAAAGCAGUAUAUUCAUCUUUCCUACUGUUUGUUGUUUCUUUUUUCUGCCUGUUGCACAUUUGUUAUUCAGAGCAGUAAAAAGGUGCUAUAGGCCAAUCAACUGAAUAUCACUUUAUAUGUAGAGAGGAGAUUACCCAUGCUUAUGUUAAAAGUUUUUUAAAAGUGGGCAUUUAUGAAAGCAGUGAUUGUUCUGUGUUUGUUGUAUUGUCUGUGUUUUUUAACGGCUAGAGCUCCUUCUGUUCCUUUCCAGCCACACUACACAAUUUGCAGCUAGAACAUGUUUCUCUUCAGUGUUGCUGGAAAUCUGUAUCCAUCAGACUAAAAACCUCCAUGAAACCUCAAGACAGAUACUUGAAGUUAUUUAAACCUUUUUCAGAAUCUUUGUUUGUUCUUGCUCUAGCCUUGCCAGUUACACUGUACAUAACAAAUAUAUUAGCAUUAUGCUAACUGGUUGUUUGUGCUAGACUUUAUGUAGCUUUUUCCCAUUUCUGAGUUAUUGCUAUCUGUACAUAAGCUUGUUUGUAAAUACUCCUCAGAGAAACGAAGAAAAAACACAAUGUAUGACAUGCCUUGUUUAUUGUGUUAUGUUUUUUCUUUUUUAUAAGUCUUAUAAAAAUUUAAACUUCUAUGCUUUGUGCUGUGUUUAUUUCAGUGCUCUAUUUUUCAAAGGUGAAAAGUUUAUUUCUGGUGGAAG
rnacentral:lncRNA from 1 species